UUAGCUAGUUGGUGGGAUAACAGCCCACCAAGGCAACGAUCCAUAGCCGGCCUGAGAGGGUGAACGGCCACAUUGGGACUGAGACACGGCCCAAACUCCUACGGGAGGCAGCAGUGGGGAAUAUUGCACAAUGGGCGAAAGCCUGAUGCAGCGACGCCGCGUGAAGGAUGAAGGUCUUCGGAUUGUAAACUUCUAUCAGCAGGGAAGAAAGAAAUGACGGUACCUGACUAAGAAGCUCCGGCUAACUACGUGCCAGCAGCCGCGGUAAUACGUAGGGAGCGAGCGUUAUCCGGAUUUACUGGGUGUAAAGGGUGCGUAGGCGGUUUGUUAAGUCAGAAGUGUAAUUUAAGGGCUCAACCUUUAAGCUGCUUCUGAAACUGAUGAACUAGAGUAUAGGAGAGGAAAGCGGAACUCCACGUGUAGCGGUGAAAUGCGUAGAGAUGUGGAGGAACACCAGUAGCGAAGGCGGCUUUCUGGACUAUUACUGACGCUGAGGCACGAAAGCGUGGGGAGCAAACAGGAUUAGAUACCCUGGUAGUCCACGCCGU
rnacentral:rRNA from 1 species